CUCGCUAGUUUUUGUGCGUUUCUCCCUGGCUUGGGCACGGACCGGCUGUGAACGAGUCCCGUAGGCAGGAUCGGAACUCCUCGGAGGUCUACCUCGUAGGAAAUUGUUGGAAGGAACAUGAGAAAAUCCUCAGAGGACAGGGAAAGAGAAGAGGAGCCAGGUGUUCUCCACUGUCUGUGAUGGGUGCCAGGCCGGCGCGGCAGUAUACCAGCCCAAGCCAUCGCCUACAGCACUGGCAUCCCAUACGGGUGUCAGUUCCAACAGACCCAGCUCUCUGCUGUGGCCUGGGAAAGCAGUGGAAGAUGAUCCAAGUGCUUGGACCCCUGAACCCACACGGAAGACCUGGAUGAAGCUCCCGGCUUUAGCAUGGCCCAACCCUGGCUGUUGUAGCCAUUUGGGAAGUGA